CAGGCCGGUAGGAUUUGCUGAAGGAGGCAGAGGCAGGUGGAUCUGGAGUUCGAGGCCAGCCUGGACUACACAUUUUUUUACCAAUUUGUUUCCUGGGAAACAUUCUCUUUUUCUUCUUCUUUUUUCUAAGUUCAACACGAAAAUAAAUUCACGAGCACACGCCACCCACAAACGUCUCUAUAACUGCCACGAUUCCGAGAUCCAUUCUCCUCUCAGCCCCUCACGCCCACGCACCCAGCUCGCACUAAAUACUAUAUAAAUAGUAAAUAGGCACCAGCGCAAGUCACACGCUCCUAUCCACGCGGAACUGCCCACGCCCGACCCUCCUGUCCCCACUCCACGCUUGUGUCCUGCCACGAUCCUCUUCUUACAACCCGUGCCCUCAGUUCUCCCGACCCCUUUUGCUCCCGUUUGCUAGCGCUGCACGGGCGAAGCAGCGACCGGUAGGCGCUCGGUGAGAACUGCGGGCCGCGGAGAGUCGGUGUCAAUAGCCCACCAGGAAAGGAAGCUGAGACAAGAGCUGAAGAAGACACAGAAAGACACUGCUUACUGGCUUGUUCCUCGCGUCCUGCUCAGCUUGCCUCUGUCUAACCCCCCAGGACCACCCACCGAGGGGCGGCCCAGCCUACAGAAGGAUGGACUGUUUCACAUCUAUCACCAGUCAAGAAAAUGCCUGAAUAGAGUUGCCAAUCUGAUGGAUGCAAAGUCUCAGCUGAGGAUCGCUUUUCCCACGUUGGUUCAAACUGACAAACCUGACAGCACACUGGUGUUUUUUUCUGGGAAGAGCAGCAAUUCCCACCGACUUUAUUACCGCUUCUUCUUUUGUGGCCUGAUAUAUCUUGCCAGGGCCUAUUGGACAUGUCUUUAAGCAUUUUUCUACCUGAUGCUGUCCACCUUGGUCAGUCUACAGUACACAUCAUGCUCACACAUACCACAAAAAUGCACACAUACACAUCGAUCUUUAAAAAUAAAAACGAGCCAUGGGAUAAAAUAG